rnacentral:rRNA from 1 species
GACGACAGGGAUCAGCUUGGGUUGGAAACCGGGGCUUCUGCCUUGGAUUGUGGCCUUUAGACAUACUACCAACGGCGGCGCGAGCGUAAGCCUCUUGGAACAGAGCGUCUACGUGGGUGAGAAUCCUGUGUUUCGCUUGAUGCCCGCCGUGCACGGUACUUGCUCUCAGAGUCACGCUCCUCGGAAUUGGAGCGUAAAUUGGGUGGUAAAUUUCAUCUAAAGCUAAAUACAGGCUCGAGACCGAUAGCAAACAAGUACCAUGAGGGAAAGAUGAAAAGGACUUUGAAAAGAGAGUUAAAAGUGCUUGAAAUCGCUGAACUGGAAGCGAAUGGAACUAGUGCUCUGGUUGAGAUUGCUGUAAAUGGCUGCGACAUCUGGGCUCUGGAACGCAAGUCCUUUGUCUGGCUUGAAGUAGUCGCUUGCAAUGUGUCUCAGCUUGAACAUCAACUUCUAUGCAUACGUGAGGAUGGCCCUUGGCUCAUGCUGUGUUGCUGUGGCGAUACUCUUGUGCUUCUGGGGAUUCAGGUGUGUGUGGAUUGUUGAUCAAUUAGUUCCAUUCGACCCGUCUUGAAACACGGACCAAGGAGUCUAGCACUUGUGCAAGUUCUCAGGUGUCAAACCUCUGUGCGCAAUGAAGGUGACUGCUGGGAUUUUUUGCACCAGCAACCGACCAAUCAAUUGGGAGAAGUUUGAGUAAGAGCAUGUGUGUUA